CUGCCAAGAUGUUUAAAAACGAAAAUUGGCUUUGCUAUGUUAGCUUUAGGUGUUUUUGCACUUUCAGCUAUAAUUAUUUUUAGCUAGUAGAAUACAAGUUAGACGUAAUACUGUAGGAAUUUAUUAUUUGAUGGCGUAACGAUGCUGCAAUGGCGUAAGACAUCUAACAAGAUCAAGUAAAUUAGCGAGCAACGAAUUUUAGCUUAUUGGGUUGGGAGUCUCCGUUUUCUAAGAAAUUUACGGCAUCCUGAUUAAGAACGCUGAAUUUUUAAUCUAAAAAUCAGGUUCACCGAAUACUGCGCGUCUCUAUACGAACGACUGCCGAGAGGUAGACGGCUUUGUAAAAAUCAUGAGGCCAUCGGUUUACAGUAGCUCUUUCUUUCGCUGCUCUUUAUUA
rfam:Providencia alcalifaciens ribonuclease E (rne) gene, partial cds.